AGGUGGAGCACGGCGCCCGCUCCCCUCCACGCAGCGGCCGGAGUGGGCACGAGGGCACCUCAACAAUGGUGGAUGAGGUUGUCUCCCCGGACUCGUGGAAGGCGAGUCGUGCCCAUGAAGGAGUGUGAACAGGACGCCUCCUCCACUACGUCAUCGCCGCCGCCGCUAAUGCGAGGCGAAUCGUCGGGACGCGCUCGCCUCGAGCGCGGGCUCCAUCGUUGUGCCGGCGGCUUCGACUCCUCGCGCCGCCGCUGUCCUACAGACGCAUGCGAGCUUGCAGUCUCUCUGAGGUAGUUGGCGAGGAGAUGUGGCUAGACGCCUGGACUAUGAUCCUUCGUCGGUGGGCGGUCUGAUGCCAAAUUUCUAGAUCCUCUCUGCUACUAAUGCUCAUGUGCGUCCAUCCCGGUCGUGAAGUGUGGAUCUUCCUUUCAGUCCCAGGUGAUUCUUUUGAGCUAAGUCGGGAGGGAGGCCCCUACCUUUUUAUGUCAUUAUAAAACAAGAUCGUUCGUCUCUAAGGAGAGCAUGAAUACUUGAUUUGAGUACAAGAAGAAAUAAACAGCUGCAGGGGGGACCGAAGAGGAGAAAGAAGGACAAAGAAAAAGGAAGGGAGAGGGAAAACAAGAAGGCUGAACAAGAACUAGCGUAAUCAGUCAUUGAUUCACCUACGUGCUGAGCAUGUGUCCUCAAUUUUUAGUCCAUGAGCCCACGAUUUAACCGCCUCCAAGCAUUGAUUCACAACUCAACUCAGGUGGGAUGGCCAUGUUGUCAAAGACUUGCCUAUUUCAAGCCAGCCAUAUAGUCCAACGGCAAAUGGUAACCUUUCCAUGCUGUUAUUUUUUGCUUACAAAAUGGAUUGCUCCAGGUGUCAAAGACGUCAGACGUUUCUUAACUGUUUACCCCCAAGAUAUUUGGAUUCUCUUUAGUUUGGUUGAACUGCAAAGCAAAUUGCGCCGUUGUUUCCUAAUCUGCACCGCUGAAGUGACAUGCAUUGUCGGCCAUAAUUAUUUGUUUUUUCAGCAGAACUGAACAAACAUCAGGCCUUUUUCUGACCAACAACCAGCCAAAGAAUUCUCCUUUUCUUGGGUCUCUAGGUGAUUUUUCCUUUGUGGAUUUGUGUUCCCAAUGGAGUCAGUUUUAAUACAUCACAUUUAUAUUCAGAGGAAAUUGGUUACUUACAGUGCUAUGUAUGAAACCCAUAGUGGUACCCUUGUGUGAACCUAUAAUUGCCUUGCAUGUGAAUGUGCAAAUUUGUGCAUUCUGUGUUGAGGAUUUUUUCACCAUGAACGCAUCUAUAUGGACUAAUCUGUAGUUCUACUAUGUGAGUAGGACUGCCUUUGAUUUCAGGCUACGUAAGUAACAUGUUGCCCCCUGCUUCCACUGAAUCCCUGAAAACCAUAUGGAGUUCUGAACAUUGAAACUAUGGAGCACUUAGAUCCUUCUGUCACAUGCCCAUUUUAUAUUAUUUUUUGAAUAAUCUCAUUUUGUUUUAUAGUAACGGACAAGCAGAUAUAGUUACACAGCCCAUUCUCAAUCUUGGGUAUUACAUAGUCCGUCAAUUCUUCAUUUUCUGUUUGUUUUAAUUUCUUAGAAUAAUCAUUCAUCAUUUCUCAUUCAUUGCCAAUUAGGCUCUUAUGCCCGGAUUCUUGAACAUGUAUCCGUGCAAUAGAAAUUCAAGCGCAGUACAUUGCUCAGGUGCAGUUUUCAAGCCAAUCAUAGAUUGAUUUCUUGGUAGAGAUACAAAAGCAGUGGUUGUAUAUAUUUUGUAAGCACUACACGAUGUCAUAGCUUUGCAAUAACUUUUUGGUGAAUGUGGGGGACAAAAAAAAAUUACUGGAGCAAAUGUCAUAUAUAAAUCAGUUAUUAGUUAGACCACAAUCAUUUCCUACUCGAUUUCUUACUCUCUGAUUUUACCUUUUUGCUGAAAAAAAUGAUAUUAUCGUCCUGCAUUUUAAAAAUAAUAAAUGGCAUAAUAAUAGAAGAGUCAUACAAAACGGUUAUAGUGCAAUGCUCUAUAUUGGAGUAAUAUUCUUUUGAUCUUUUCCUCGAAAACUGACAAUAUCAACUCUGUAAAUUCUUGACCUACUUCCAGGGAUAUGUUCUUUUUUUCUAGGUUCGUUCUUUUUUUCUAGGUUCGCUCAUACCCACUGGGAGUUGCACGAUUCAGGGGUGACGCCAGACUCCACCAUUAUUAGAAGCCUGGUUUCUCCAUCGUGAGCAUGUUGCUAUAGGUUCCUUUCACGGGGUUUCUGGCCUCAGUUUUAAUCAACCCUACCCCUGUAUGUCUGUCAGUUAGUAGUUUAGGACUCACCAUGAAUUACUUUUUUCAUGGCAUAACUUACAUGAGCAUGAGUACGAGUACCAAAAUUAUUCUCUUUGUGUCUUACAUGAGCAUGGAUAUAUGCACCUCAAAUUACUUUUCUCGAAACAUCAUUCAUAUGACUAAACGUUGUAUGUACUCCCUCCGUCCGGAAAUA
rnacentral:rRNA from 1 species